rnacentral:lncRNA from 1 species
ACAACACUGGAGCAAUACCUAGUUAUUUUCAGAGAAAUCAUACUUUUUUGCUACUUGUAGAAAAUGUGGGGUAUUAGGCUACAAAAUGAAACUACUUCACUUUUAGUCAUAAGCAAUAUGUUAAUGAUGUAGCUCAGAACCCAGCAAAAUAAUGUCAAACUAAUCUGCAAUCUGCCCAGAAAAAAUGAAAUGUCAGCCAAUUCUACCAAAUGGCAAAUCGUUUUGCUGUUCAAGUAUAUGGCUUAUAAAUCCGCUGGUUUAGAGUAAGGGGUAAAAGGGAAAGAAAAAUGAAAAGCCUUGAAAAAAAAAACAGCACUGUAAUGGCAAUCUUUUACUCUUCCUGAUUAUCUAAAAUUUUGUUGGUCAUGUUUUAAUCGGCAAGUUUUGUUUUGUUUUCAGUGCUUUUAGAAUGAUUUAGUCACUCAAAGAUUUAAGCUACCAUUUUUCAGGGUCUGUAGAAUAAUAUGCUUCAAAGGAAUUUUUAUAAACAGAGACCAUCUCCCUUGAAUAUUAUUAAGAAUAGCCCUUAUAAAUAAAAUCAUUAAGUGGAAUUUUGUAUGUAAAGUCAUCCAUCUGUGUCAGUGUUCACAAGGAUUUCCACAGAUUGUAUUGGGUGGGGAUCUUUUAAAAGUAAGACCAGCAUAAAAUACAGAUGCCUUUUACAUAUGGUUUAGAUAAUUUGAAUUGACUUCACAAUCACUCAUC